AAUACAAUGAGGCCCCGUUUGGAUACCCCUGAAAACGUAGUAUAGUUAAACUAUAUACUACACCAGUAGAAAAAUUAUCCUAUGAAGCAUUUGAGAGAAAAAAAGAACGUAAUUUUUGAAGUAUAGCGCCCUUAUUCCAAAGAUGCAUCAAAUUCUAACUUUUAAAUUUCAAUAUAAAUGUUAAAUUUCAACAUGAAUUUU
rnacentral:lncRNA from 1 species